rnacentral:lncRNA from 1 species
CAGGGGUUCACUUCCGAAAAACCACUGAUAACAUAUUUAUUUGGGCACAAGGAUGUCUGGAGGAAGUAAAAAGCACAGAGUACUUAGAGUACUUGUGUCUCCCUUUCCUUUAGAACCCUGUCAAGGGAAGGGGCUGAUUCUUGCCACCUAGCCCCCCAAAAAACAAUACCAGGCCACACUCGAUACAAAGUGCUUGAUUAACUUCGCUGUUACCAGCAACCCCAGAAAACCACUAGUAUCUUAUAAAAUGAUAAGAGCAAAGCUAAGCAGUUAAAAACUCAGGUUGACUAAUAUAUUUUGAAUGUUCAAAUGCAUGCACUCAUAGCCAGCAGCACAAUGUCCCGAGGCCCCUGACACCUGGUGAUGUUAAAUCCCAUCAAGUUGGCAAUUAAGAUAAACCAUUACGAGACUUCAUGAAAUUAAGCCUCUGAGAGACAGGAGAAACAAGUGAAAAGAAAGGACAAGACGAUGCCCAGAGCCAGAAGAGCUCCAUGCACCCAUAACACCUGCACAUGACAGAGCACUGGAAAACACUGACCUGGAAUGACCUGUCUGAACACCUACACCAGUUAAAAGGCACUCCGGAAAAACAACUCCUGGCUCCAGCUCCUGCUCCGGCUCAUUCUUCUCUCUGUCUCCUACUUAUGGUUCCAGAUGGGGCUUCAGCUACUUCUUCAGCAUCAUGCCUGCCUGCCUUCCUGCCAUCGUGUUCCCCACCAUGAUGAAAACAGAUUUGUCUUUGAAACUUGUCCCCAAUUAAAUGCUUUACAAUA